UACGAAGGGGGCUAGCGUUGCUCGGAAUGACUGGGCGUAAAGGGCGCGUAGGCGGAUGGUACAGUCAGAUGUGAAAUUCCCGGGCUCAACCUGGGGGCUGCAUUUGAUACGUAUGAUCUUGAGUGGGGAAGAGGGUCGUGGAAUUCCCAGUGUAGAGGUGAAAUGCGUAGAGAUCGGAAGGAACACCAGUGGCGAAGGCGACUGUCUGGACAGAUACUGACGCUGAGGCGCGAAAGCGUGGGGAGCAAACAGG
rnacentral:rRNA from 1 species